UAGAGUUAUCAGAAGUGCUGUGGGCAAUGAUAAUGAGAGUGGGCCUUCGUGUGGAUGCAGCAUAUGGAAUCUUGCUGUUAGUUCCAGUUUUAGCCUUCUUUGCUGUGUUAACAGUAUUCAUUCUUUUGGUCAUGGAAGGUCUUUCUGCUUUUCUACACGCUGUACGACUUCAUUGGGUGGAAUUUCAGAACAAGUUCUACACCGGUGGAGGUUACAAGUUUACUCCUUUUUCCUUUAAGCACAUUUUUUUACAUUUUAAUAAAGAUGAUAUUGCAUAAUUUUAUUGGCAUAAGCAGAGGUAUUCAGAGUUGCCUGCAAAUCAUGUAAUUAGAUCUCACUGAUGUACAGUUUGUAGAAAAAUGUAUUUUUCACUGAUUGCCUUAUAAUGUAGCCAAAUAAUUCUGUAAUAUAUACCUCCUUCAUACAAAUACAUUGCAGAUCUGGAGCCUCUUGUAAAAUAUAUAGGCAUAAAACGUAUGUUUUUUUCAUAAUAAACUAAUGUAAAUUAAUUUUAAGAUAAUUCUAAAAAUAAUCUUAUUGCUUGUUCUAAAAAUAAGAAAGGUAUUUUAUUUCCAGAAGAGACUGUUUAUAUUCUUUAAUGAAUACUUUAAAUGAUCUUAAAGACCUUAAUUUCCGUUUCGUCAUAUAAAAUACACAGCAAGAUUACUGUAUAUUACUCAUGUGAUCACACCCCCUCAUUAACUUAAAUUACCAUCUAAUGGAAUCUGGAAGCAGUUAAGAUUAAACAGUGUAUGUUUUCAGUAGUUAUUCCCAGGAGAUUACCAAAAAUAGUAUAAACCGGUAAAUAUUAAUAUAAAAUGCUCUUGUGGGGCUAUUUUUAAAAGUACACCAACUUUUUUUUUUUAUUUAUUCAUUUUUUAUAAAAACAAUCUUGUGUCUUGAAUUCUGCCCAGAAUUAUUACUUUAAUCUUUGCAAGUGCACAUCCUGAAGCUUCAUUCGAUAAAAGAAAAAUUAAGGGCAGGUAGGGGAAACCCAACUAUGGUUCUUUUUAUCUCCCUUCAUUGAGGAGUUUAUAGUCUUAUGCCCCAAUUUUGCUAAAUGAUCUGUGUGGGUGGACUCCUAUACUUGUGUGGAACUCUACUGGGUGCAGGGAUUGCCCAUCCAGACCAUUUUGCAGGAUCAGGGCCUUAAUGAUGUCUUUAACAGGUGACUCAAAUUGUAUAGCAGAAUAUGGUGUAUUAAAUGCUCAUUCUACAGACCUUUCACAUGCAAAGUUCCCAUUAAUGGGAACUAUAUUUUUAUGACGAGUGCAGAAUCAGGCCUUGAAUUUAUUCUGUAUAUAUUUGGCUUUAAAGACAUUUAUGGAUAUAACUUGACUGGAGUGACUGGUUUAUCUGAUGUUAUUGAACCAAAGUUGUUUAUACUGAGUUAAGAAAUGUUACUUAAAAGGGUGUAUGUGAAGGGAGGAGACCGUGCUUUUGCAUUUUUUAUAUCAAAAUGAAAAUUGGGAUAUUUUACCAUAAUAGUUUGACAUUUGUGCCAUAAGAACAACAUAAGUUAACGUUUACAUUUUUCUUUCAUACUGAUUCCAAAUAAAAUCUAAUUGCCAUUUGCAGAAUUAAUAUUCUGCAGUGUUUGGUUGUAUUUAAUUGUUUAAAAUGAACUCCUGCAGCUCUUAAACUAUACCACUAAAAUUUUGUCCUAUGUAAUAUUUCAAUUUCUUAUUUACAAUAUUUUAAGAGGUUCCCACUAUUGUAAAAAGUUACAUUUGUUACUGAAUCUUAGGUCUUUUCAUUUCUUACUUCUUGUGCAACCCCAAGCAGGCGACUUGGCCUCUUCUAAGAAUAAAGCUUCACUUAAU